rfam:[Clostridium] paradoxum JW-YL-7 = DSM 7308 strain JW-YL-7 ctg1, whole genome shotgun sequence.
GGGAUCAUAGCUCAGCUGGGAGAGCACCUGCCUUACAAGCAGGGGGUCACAGGUUCGAUCCCUGUUGAUCCCA